UAAUAUUAAAUGACUGUUUAAAAAAAAGAAAAAUGUCUAUUGUUGUAUUUUUCUUUUAAGUGAAUUACUUUAAAAAUAUUUACUGGCUGAAGAAUAAUGAUGAACUCCACUCCGAUGAGAGCUAGUAAAAAGGAGAUGACAGGAUGGGUGACGACAUUCAGUUUGAUAUAAUCUCCGUGACCACUUCGAGGGUCUAAUCCUUGAGCACACUGCCUCUAUAGAUAAUAAAAUAGUGAAACUGAUUCAUUGAAUUUCAAUAUUUGUUUUAUAUCACUAAAAUUUAAUAAAAUAAAACAUCUUAAGUC